AGUGAACGCUGGCGGUAGGCCUAACACAUGCAAGUCGAACGGCAGCACAGUAAGAGCUUGCUCUUACGGGUGGCGAGUGGCGGACGGGUGAGGAAUACAUCGGAAUCUACUUUUUCGUGGGGGAUAACGUAGGGAAACUUACGCUAAUACCGCAUACGACCUACGGGUGAAAGCAGGGGAUCUUCGGACCUUGCGCGAUUGAAUGAGCCGAUGUCGGAUUAGCUAGUUGGCGGGGUAAAGGCCCACCAAGGCGACGAUCCGUAGCUGGUCUGAGAGGAUGAUCGGCCACACUGGAACUGAGACACGGUCCAGACUCCUACGGGAGGCAGCAGUGGGGAAUAUUGGACAAUGGGCGCAAGCCUGAUCCAGCCAUACCGCGUGGGUGAAGAAGGCCUUCGGGUUGUAAAGCCCUUUUGUUGGGAAAGAAAAGCAGCAGGUUAAUACCCCGCCGUUCUGACGGUACCCAAAGAAUAAGCACCGGCUAACUUCGUG
rnacentral:rRNA from 1 species